GCUUGGCCUUGCACAUCUGGGACAGUCAGCAGUGCGUCUGUCCCACCACAGAUCCACAUGUUGAGAGAACCCAAGAAGAUUGUUGGAGAAUUGUUGGAAAUGUUGGAAGUUGGAGAAACAAGACUCUUCCUUCCCUCCCUCCCCUGCCAUCCACCCUGUUAGGCUUGUCCUGGUGACCCAUAUGAUGUCAAGGAGGGGGAUUUUGCACCCCCAGUCAGACCACAAGGGCCAUGGCCCUAAUUCCCAUCUGUGCAGGCUCUGCUCCUGCAGUCCCGAAGGUCCCUGAGAGUUGCCAGCAUUGCAAAACAACAGCCUCAUUGGAGUGAGAUGGGGAGAUGUUCAAGCCAACAGCAGAGGACUGUACCGUUUCAGUGUUGAAAUUUCCAAAGAUGCUCCUGCUCUCUUUGCCUUUGCUGUGUGCUCCUUCUCUCUCUGCGAGCAGGACCACCAAACUGUCGCAUAAGCAGCCUCAGCCUGGGGGAAAACCAACCUCCCAAUCAUCAGCUUGACUUAGUUGCCUGGAUAGCUCUUCUGGAACCUGAUGAAGUUCGCAGUUCCUCUUCUGUCACAGGGAAUUAAAAGAGUAAGCACAAACUCCUGCUGCCGAGCCUGAGCUCUGCAUCCAGCCAGGAUCACACACAGCCACUUUGGCUAUAACACUGCAAAGAUAAGGAGAACUCUAAACAUCCAAACAGCUCUUGGAGGUCAGCUGCUCUCCAUUCCCACUUGAUGUUAUCUGCCUUGCAAGCUCCUUAGUCAAAUAGAGAUUUCGGGAAAAAAACACUGUCUAUGAAAAAUACUUCAUUAUGUCCUCCAGCAUGGGAUGUGCUAGUAACUAAGUGGUCCACCAGAUAUGUGCACCGUCUUUCUGGUCAUCCCUGUACCCUUGUCAAAUAUUAUUAUAAUGUUUUUUACUAAAUCUUUUGGAAAUCCCCGCUGUGAGAACUUGGCUGCUUCCUGGGCUCAGCACACUUUGCUGGAAUAGGCACUUUAUAUACACUAAGUUAAUGACAUGGGAUAUUAGAAGAUCUUUCCUGGGGUGAGUGAUGCUCAUUGGAGAUUGCAGACCCAAAUCUCCCUGCAAGGACUUCCCUAAAGGUAUGUGCAGUGUCCAUUCACCCUCCACUGCCACAGGCUUCACCUAUGUGCUCAGGAGAGCAGCAGUGACCACUGGCUGCCCUGCAGCAAAGGUUUACAGACUGAAUUCAUCUGUCUGGUUGUCACUCUCCUAAACCCAUUGGGAGCUCCCAGGUGCAAUGGGAGAUGCAUCCCCAAGCACCAUGAUAAAGACAAGUCCUGGACAUGAGCCAUUCCUUGUCAAGG
ensembl:lncRNA